rnacentral:rRNA from 1 species
GACGAACGCUGGCGGCGUGCUUAACACAUGCAAGUCGAGCGGUAAGGCCCUUUCGGGGGUACACGAGCGGCGAACGGGUGAGUAACACGUGGGUGACCUGCCCUCAGCUCUGGGAUAAGCCUGGGGAAACUGGGUCUAAUACUGGAUAUGACUCCACGGUGCAUGUCGUGGGGUGGAAAGCCUUGUGCGGCUGAGGAUGGGCCCGCGGCCUAUCAGCUUGUUGGGUGGGGUGAUGGCCUACCAAGGCGACGACGGUAGCCGGCCUGAGAGGGCGACCGGCCACACUGGGACUGAGACACGGCCCAGACUCCUACGGGAGGCAGCAGUGGGGAAUCUUGCGCAAUGGGCGAAAGCCUGACGCAGCGACGCCGCGUGAGGGAUGACGGCCU